AUUGAACGCUGGCGGCAUGCCUUACACAUGCAAGUCGAACGGCAGCACGGGUGCUUGCACCUGGUGGCGAGUGGCGAACGGGUGAGUAAUACAUCGGAACAUGUCCUGUAGUGGGGGAUAGCCCGGCGAAAGCCGGAUUAAUACCGCAUACGAUCUACGGAUGAAAGCGGGGGACCUUCGGGCCUCGCGCUAUAGGGUUGGCCGAUGGCUGAUUAGCUAGUUGGUGGGGUAAAGGCCUACCAAGGCGACGAUCAGUAGCUGGUCUGAGAGGACGACCAGCCACACUGGGACUGAGACACGGCCCAGACUCCUACGGGAGGCAGCAGUGGGGAAUUUUGGACAAUGGGCGAAAGCCUGAUCCAGCAAUCCCGCGUGUGUGAAGAAGGCCUUCGGGUUGUAAAGCACUUUUGUCCGGAAAGAAAUCCUUGGCCCUAAUACGGUCGGGGGAUGACGGUACCGGAAGAAUAAGCACCGGCUAACUACGUG
rnacentral:rRNA from 1 species